GAGGAGGAGGAUAAAUAAGAAAAGGAGGUGAAGGUAGAGGAGGGAGAUGAGAGAAACGACACAGAAGAUGAAGAGUUGAAGGAGGCAGAUGAGGAGCAGGACGCAGAUGAGGAGCAGGAGGCAGAUGAGGAGCAGGAGGUAGAUGAGGAGCAAGAGGUAGAUGAGGAGCAAAAGGCAGAUGAGGAGCAGGAGGUAGAUGAGGAGCAAGAGGUAGAUGAGGAGCAAAAGGCAGAUGAGGAGCAGGAGGUAGAUGAGGAGCAAGAGGUAGAUGAGGAGCAAAAGGCAGAUGAGGAGCAGGAGGUAGAUGAGGAGCAAGAGGUAGAUGAGGAGCAAAAGGCAGAUGAGGAGCAGGAGGUAGAUGAGGAGCAAGAGGUAGAUGAGGAGCAAAAGGCAGAUGAGGAGCAGGAGGUAGAUGAGGAGCAGGAGGUAGAUGAGGAGCAGGAGGUAGAUGAGGAGCAAAAGGCAGAUGAGGAGCAGGAGGUAGAUGAGGAGCAAGAGGCAGAUGAGGAGCAGGAGGCAGAUGGUAGAUGAGAAGAGAUGGUAGAAGAGGACUGGUUCCCAACAUGAUAAUGCUCUUCCUCUCUACAGCACCAUAUGUAUCAAAGCUUAGCUACCAUGUCCCUGUGAUCAGUGUGUGUCUACUGCCCUCUAGUGUGCUUUAUGUCAGUGUCAGAAGGCCCUGGUUCUCCUGUUGUCCAAGUCAGCAGUCCACAUAGUAUGGGGUUGACACUGUCAUUAUGGGACAUUCAGUAUGGAUGAGGUAUGAAGCAUGAGUCACUCAGUGAAAGUCUGCAUGCUGUAUGUGUGCUGAGGGCUCCUGAGUGGCGCAGCGGUCUAAGGCACUGCAUCUCAGUGCAAGAGGCACCAGUCCCUGGUUUGAAUCCAGGCUGUAUCACAUCUGCCGUGAUUGGUAGUCCCAUAAGGCAACAUUGACCCAGCAUCGUCCAGGUUUGGCCGGGGUAGGCUGUCAUUGUAAAUAAGAAUUUGUUUUUAACUGACUUGCCUGGUUAAAUAAAGGUAAAACAUUUUUUAUCAUACUACUGUACGUAAAAGA
rnacentral:lncRNA from 1 species